rnacentral:rRNA from 1 species
GACGAACGCUGGCGGCGUGCCUAAUACAUGCAAGUAGAACGCUUAAGAGAGGAGCUUGCUCUUCUUGGAUGAGUUGCGAACGGGUGAGUAACGCGUAGGUAACCUGCCUUGUAGCGGGGGAUAACUAUUGGAAACGAUAGCUAAUACCGCAUAACAAUGGAUGACACAUGUCAUUUAUUUGAAAGGGGCAAUUGCUCCACUACAAGAUGGACCUGCGUUGUAUUAGCUAGUAGGUGAGGUAAUGGCUCACCUAGGCGACGAUACAUAGCCGACCUGAGAGGGUGAUCGGACACACUGGGACUGAGACACGGCCCAGACUCAUACGGGAGGCAGCAGUAGGGAAUCUUCGGCAAUGGGGGCAACCCUGACCGAGCAACGCCGCGGGAGUGAAGAAGGUUUUCGGAUCGUAAAGCUCUGUUGUAAGUCAAGAACGGGUGUGAGAGUGGAAAGUGCACACUGUGACGGUAGCUUACCAGAAAGGGACGGCUAACUACGUG